AGGCCUUGCGCUGACUGAGCGGCCGAUAUCAGAUUAGCUUGUUGGUGAGGUAAAAGCUCACCAAGGCGACGAUCUGUAGCGGGUCUGAGAGGAUGAUCCGCCACACUGGAACUGAGACACGGUCCAGACUCCUACGGGAGGCAGCAGUGGGGAAUUUUGGACAAUGGGGGCAACCCUGAUCCAGCCAUGCCGCGUGAGUGAAGAAGGCCUUCGGGUUGUAAAGCUCUUUCAGCCGGGAAGAAAACGCAUGGGUUAAUACCCUGUGUGGAUGACGGUACCGGAAUAAGAAGCACCGGCUAACUACGUGCCAGCAGCCGCGGUAAUACGUAGGGUGCGAGCGUUAAUCGGAAUUACUGGGCGUAAAGCGUGCGCAGGCGGUUUUGUAAGACAGGCGUGAAAUCCCCGGGCUUAACCUGGGAACUGCGUUUGUGACUGCAAGGCUAGAGUACGGCAGAGGGGGGUGGAAUUCCACGUGUAGCAGUGAAAUGCGUAGAGAUGUGGAGGAACACCAAUGGCGAAGGCAGCCCCCUGGGUCGAUACUGACGCUCAUGCACGAAAGCGUGGGUAGCAAACAGGAUUAGAUACCCUGGUAGUCCACGCCCUAAACGAUGUCAACUAGGUGUUGGGAGGGUAAAACCUUUUAGUACCGGAGCUAACGCGUGAAGUUGACCGCCUGGGGAGUACGGCCGCAAGGUUAAAACUCAAAGGAAUUGACGGGGACCCGCACAAGCGGUGGAUGAUGUGGAUUAAUUCGAUGCAACGCGAAAAACCUUACCUACCCUUGACAUGCCAAGAACUUUCCAGAGAUGGAUUGGUGCCCGAAAGGGAACUUGGACACAGGUGCUGCAUGGCUGUCGUCAGCUCGUGUCGUGAGAUGUUGGGUUAAGUCCCGCAACGAGCGCAACCCUUGUCGUUAAUUGCCAUCAUUUAGUUGGGCACUUUAACGAGACUGCCGGUGACAAACCGGAGGAAGGUGGGGAUGACGUCAAGUCCUCAUGGCCCUUAUGGGUAGGGCUUCACACGUCAUACAAUGGUCGGUACAAAGGGUCGCCAAGCCGCGAGGUGGAGCCAAUCCCAGAAAGCCGAUCGUAGUCCGGAUCGCAGUCUGCAACUCGACUGCGUGAAGUCGGAAUCGCUAGUAAUCGUGGAUCAGAAUGUCACGGUGAAUACGUUCCCGGGUCUUGUACACACCGCCCGUCACACCAUGGGAGCGGGUUCCGCCAGAAGUAGGUAGCCUAACCGCAAGGAGGGCGCUUACCACGGCGGGGUUCGUGACUGGGGUGAAGUCGGAACAAGGUA
rnacentral:rRNA from 1 species